GCCUGCCCCUUCACGCCAGCAGAAGCACCCCACCUUCUCUGCGCUCACCUUGACCGUGCGGAUGUAAUCCAGUGCAUUGGGGACCAAGGACUCCAGUUCAGGGAAUCUCUUUGAGUACUUAUCCCGGAUGAACUUAUGGAUGAUGUCUAGGUAACUGAAGCCCUGGCUUGUGGCCUGGCACACGGGCACCAGCAUACAGCCUUUCUCAGCCGUCCUUACCGCUAGGUGUGACCAGGGGAAUUAGUUCUGGUCUGUAAAACGUGAGCUGCAGUGACAUGUUCUUAAAGAAAAGAAGCGCCUUGCUGGUGGGAAUGCGGAGGUGAUGGCUGGAGGUGGGGCAGUCACCUCGCACCGUGAGGCAGGUGGCCGACCAACAGGAUGGAAAGAGCCGGGGCCCUACAGGCAGCCAAGCGGCCACACCAUCCCCGAGUGCUCCUCAGACUCAUACGCGAGAGAACGCACUUCCUUCUUAUUUCAGCCACUCUGUGACAGCAGGUUGUUGGCAUCCACGAUGACGCGGUAUUCAGGCGCGGCCUCCACUGGUCCCAUCACUGUGAGGACACGGAGGCAUGGGUCACUUGUGCACCUCCAGUAAACAGGGACUGCCACAGCUUGUGAGAUGUUUCACCUCUGCCUCCUCAACCAGACACCGGGUGUGACGGGGUCUGACUCCAUCCCUGAGCCUGGCCUGACAUCAGGAAAUGUCACUUUCUGUGUCCCAUAACCCUCUGGAGGGAGAAAUUCCUUGGCCUGGCAUCUGGAACUCUGCAGGAUUCUCUCUCCGGAUAUCUGAGGCCCCGGGCCUGCCGCUGUCUUUCCCUGGGCCCCCUUCUCCCUUUCUUUGCCUGGCACAUGCAUUCAUGCUCUACAGUCCAAUUCAGCUAUCGAUUCUUCCUGACACCUGGGGCAGGGUCAGCCAGUCCCUCCUGUGGCUCCGGUGUCCCCAGCUUGGUACCACCACUGAUAGCUGUCUGGAACCUGGCCUGCCUCUUCCACUAGACCUUGAGUACUUUGAGAGCAAAGACCUGGGCGAUUCAACUGGGUGCCCAGGUAAACGUUAAAGAAAGCAAGCAGUGAGUCUCCCGAAACUCUGCCCUCUCACUACACUUCUUUCCCCAGAAACCUCCUAUGGCUUCCUGUCAUCAACAAAUUCCAUUCAAGAAGAAUGGGAAGGCUGGGCGUAGUGGCUCAUGCCUGUAAUCCCAGCACUUUGGGAGGCCGAGGUGGGCGGAUUACUUGAGGUCAGGAGUUCGAGACUAGCCUGGUCAACAUGGUGAAACCCCAUCUCUACUAAAAAAUACAAAAUAGCCAGGCAUGGUGUUGCAUACCUGUAAUCCCAGCUAUACAUAAGGCUGAGGGAGGAGAAUCGCUUGAACCCGGGAGGUGGAGGUUGCAAUGAGCCAAGAACACAUCACUGCACUCCAGCCUGGGCGACAGAGGGAGACUCUAUCUCAAGGA